rnacentral:rRNA from 1 species
UACUAAGGGGGCUAGCGUUGCUCGGAAUCACUGGGCGUAAAGGGUGCGUAGGCGGGUCUUUAAGUCAGGGGUGAAAUCCUGGAGCUCAACUCCAGAACUGCCUUUGAUACUGAAGAUCUUGAGUUCGGGAGAGGUGAGUGGAACUGCGAGUGUAGAGGUGAAAUUCGUAGAUAUUCGCAAGAACACCAGUGGCGAAGGCGGCUCACUGGCCCGAUACUGACGCUGAGGCACGAAAGCGUGGGGAGCAAACAGG